GACGAACGCUGGCGGCGUGCCUAAUACAUGCAAGUAGAACGCUGAAGGAGGAGCUUGCUCUUCUGGAUGAGUUGCGAACGGGUGAGUAACGCGUAGGUAACCUGCCUGGUAGUGGGGGAUAACUAUUGGAAACGAUAGCUAAUACCGCAUAAUAACAGUUGUUGCAUGACAACUGUUUGAAAGGUGCAAUUGCAUCACUACCAGAUGGACCUGCGUUGUAUUAGCUAGUUGGUGGGGUAACGGCUCACCAAGGCGACGAUACAUAGCCGACCUGAGAGGGUGAUCGGCCACACUGGGACUGAGACACGGCCCAGACUCCUACGGGAGGCAGCAGUAGGGAAUCUUCGGCAAUGGACGAAAGUCUGACUGAGCAACGCCGCGUGAGUGAAGAAGGUUUUCGGAUCGUAAAGCUCUGUUGUAAGAGAAGAACGAGUGUGAGAGUGGAAAGUUCACAGCUG
rnacentral:rRNA from 1 species